rnacentral:rRNA from 1 species
CAACCUGCCGUCUACUCUUGGACAGCCUUCUGAAAGGAAGAUUAAUACAAGAUGGCAUCAUGAGUCCGCAUGUUCACAUGAUUAAAGGUAUUCCGGUAGACGAUGGGGAUGCGUUCCAUUAGAUAGUAGGCGGGGUAACGGCCCACCUAGUCUUCGAUGGAUAGGGGUUCUGAGAGGAAGGUCCCCCACAUUGGAACUGAGACACGGUCCAAACUCCUACGGGAGGCAGCAGUGAGGAAUAUUUGUCAAUGGGCGAGAGCCUGAACCAGCCAAGUAGCGUGAAGGAUGACUGCCCUAUGGGUUGUAAACUUCUUUUAUAAAGGAAUAAAGUCGGGUAUGUAUACCCGUUUGCAUGUACUUUAUGAAUAAGGAUCGGCUAACUCCGUGCCAGCAGCCGCGGUAAUACGGAGGAUCCGAGCGUUAUCCGGAUUUAUUGGGUUUAAAGGGAGCGUAGAUGGAUGUUUAAGUCAGUUGUGAAAGUUUGCGGCUCAACCGUAAAAUUGCAGUUGAUACUGGAUAUCUUGAGUGCAGUUGAGGCAGGCGGAAUUCGUGGUGUAGCGGUGAAAUGCUUAGAUAUCACGAAGAACUCCGAUUG